rnacentral:lncRNA from 1 species
AUGGCUGAUUAUGAGUCUUAUGUGUCUGAGACUCUGUGAUUGAGAAUUAGGAUUCUCUGAUCAUGAGUUCCACAUAUUUUGGAUACCGGGGUCAAAAUUUUGAAUUUCAAAUUUUGAAUUUGAAAUUUAAACUCUUUGAUCAGGGUUUCAUAUCGAUGGUCUCUGAUGCCUAAUUGCCCAUCGAAUUUGGACUCAAUAAUUAUGAGAGGUUUUAUUAGUGAUUUG